GCCUAGAUCUGAAUACUCUACAACAAGCCUUACAAGCCCACAAUUUACCUACUCAUAUCCAUUUAAUCCCUUAUCAGGGCUAACCCAUUGGGGGCAAUCUGCAGGCACCGGCUCCCCUGAUCCUCGGAGGGCGUCCACUGUGCGGCUCCUUGCAACCCCCCUGGGGUCUGUUUUGGUUUCCCUCUCUCCCCCAUGGGGUUGUGGGUGGCGCUCCCUUCGGAUUUUCUAAUGGCUCUGCAGACCUCUGGUCAUUACAAAACCCACUUCAUUCGUUAACGAAUCAACCAUCCCCCUGAAGAGACCACUUAGAGGUCGAAACGCGCCGGGGAACGCACAUCACACAGCAUAAAGCAAUGUAUACAUUUGUUCAAUAUUGUGGAAUAUGUAUUGUAUCACCAGAUCCGUAAAGGGUUUUCUUUUAAUUGUUAUUGCAUUUAAAAUGUAUGUUAUUGACAACCAUAAAAUAAACCAUGUUUUAUUAUA